AGGGUAGAGGGAGAACACAGACCAGGGAGGGAGGGUAGAGGGAGAACACAGACCAGGGAGGUAUGUUAUUAUCCCUAAGCCUCUGAAUAAUAAACAUGGUAAAUAACUGAUCAUAUUAGAAAGUGUUGAACAAUCAAACAAUGAUGGUUGUCAUUGUACAGUAUUAAUAUAUUGUACUGCUACUACUCGACAUUAAGA